CCAACUGUGUGAAUUAAUGCAAACUGCAUACUGCUUUGAACAUCGACAUCUUGAACGCAUAUUGCGGCCAUGGGUUAGCCUGUGGCCACGCCUGUCCGAGGGUCGGCUUAUAAACUAUCACGACGCCCAAAAAGUCGUGGCUUGGGUUUUGCCAGCUGGCGUGAUCUCCUCUAUGAGUAAUCAUGUGAGGUGCCAGAUCUAUGGCGUUUCCCUAAUGUAUCCGGAUGCACCCUUGUCUUGGCAGAAAGCCGUGGUGAGGUGCAGUGGCGGAAUCGUGGUUUAAUAAUCGGGUUGGUACUCAGUUGUCAGUGUGUUCGGCGAUCCCCUAGUCGGCACACAUGAUUUCUGGGAUAAUUCCAUACCAGGCACGUUCCGUUACUGUUACUUUGUCAUUGGUUUGAUGCUGAACUUGGUCAUGUGUCUGAUGCUAUUUCAUAUAACGACGGUACCCUUCGUGGUCUGUCUUCCUGACCUCGGUUCAGACGUGAUUACCCGCUGAACUUAAGCAUAUCACUAA
rnacentral:rRNA from 1 species